rnacentral:lncRNA from 1 species
UCCAUUUCCACAUUGUACUGAAACUCUCGGCACUGAAAAUUGUCUCAUCAGAAGGAACAUACUGGAAGGUUUGCAAUUCAAACUCAGGACCUCCUGUAUGUGGAUCAUUUGUUGCAGCCCUGCCUCAGGGGAAGGAGGGGGAAGUUACUGAGCUGGAUUCCAGGAAUAAUAGACAAGGAGAACUUGAAGUGUAAGAGACAAUCUGACUUACGUUAUCACCCACCCAAGUGAGAAAGGCAGGCAUCAAUGUAACCAAAUGCAUCCAAGCUCUAUGUGGUGAAAGAUAUGUAUAUGUGUCUCACAUGUGUGCCUGAUGCCUGUGGCGUUCCAAAGCGUUAUUUUGGCUAUGGCUCUCAUGCUUCUUUGAUUUGAUAGCACAUUUGGACCCAUUUCUGCAAAAGGACCUUUGGCAUCUCUCCCUGGAACACACCUUGGUAUUCAAACCCUGGCACUGUGCAUUACAGAUGCAGACAAGAAAUACUUCCACCUUGUGAGACAAUCCUCAAACCCAGC